UACGUAGGGUGCGAGCGUUGUCCGGAAUUAUUGGGCGUAAAGAGCUUGUAGGCGGUUUGUCGCGUCUGCUGUGAAAAUCCGGGGCUCAACCCCGGGCCUGCAGUCGAUACGGGCAGACUAGAGUGCGGUAGGGGAGACUGGAAUUCCUGGUGUAGCGGUGAAAUGCGCAGAUAUCAGGAGGAACACCGGUGGCGAAGGCGGGUCUCUGGGCCGUAACUGACACUGAGGAGCGAAAGCGUGGGUAGCAAACAGG
rnacentral:rRNA from 1 species